rnacentral:rRNA from 1 species
AGUCAUAUGCUUGUCUCAAAGAUUAAGCCAUGCAUGUCUCAGUAUAAGCUUCUACACGGCGAAACUGCGAAUGGCUCAUUAAAACAGUUAUCGUUUAUUUGGUGGUCAUUCAUUACAUGGAUAACCAUGGUAAUUCUAGAGCUAAUACAUGCAUCCAGACCCAACUUCGUGGAAGGGUUGUGUUUAUUAGGUACAGAACCAACCCAGGCUCUGCCUGGUCUUCUGGUGAUUCAUGAUAACCGAACGAAUCGUAUGGCAUCAGCUGACGAUGAAUCAUUCAAGUUUCUGACCUAUCAGCUUCCGACGGAAGGGUAUUCGCCUACCGUGGCAAUGACGGGUA